rnacentral:lncRNA from 1 species
CCAGUAAAGUGGAAAGCAAAUCUGCAUGCUAAUGGGAUGGCUAUGUUUAUUUACCUUUACAUGAAGGAACACUCUUGGCUGAAUGGUUAAUACUGAAGGACAGAGAGCUUCAUCCAACUGUUUUCAGAGUUGGUCCAUAAUCUUGUUUCAUAAUUGCCUGCGCCGAGAGCACCACAAAAUGGCAGAAGUGCAUUCAGGGUCGUGUCAGAAAUCACCGAGCAUUCCACCUUAAAACUAGCCCAGAAGUUACAUCAAAAUAUUGUUGUUGUUGUUGUUGUUGUUGUUGUUGUUUUUAAUGAAACUCAAGUCAGCAACGCACAUAGCAAGUUUUAAACCUCAGAAAUAUAAUCUAGACUAAUCUGAAACACGCUGAGGGACACUGGUUGAAAGCAUGGAAAGCCUCCAUUUUCCCUAGUUAAGCCAUCAUGUUAGAGGAGCAGAAAAAGCCGCGUGAACAGUAAGAAACACUGCAGUCCUUUUACAACGCGUGGCAGGCAGGACUCUGAGCAUGGUGUUUGAGGCGAUGCUCGUUGGUGGGGCGUGGUGUGACGGCAUGCGGGAUGAUCAUUGGUGGGGUGGGGUGUGACAGCACGCGGAAUGCUCACGGGUGGUCAGAACCAGGGCUGCAAUGACGUCAUCCAGCCAUCCAGUGCAGCACAGGUGAGCACUGCUAGAAACGCCUUGGCCUGAUUAAGCCUUUGAUUUUGAAGUGAUGUUUGGUCAUUGUGCAUUCAAAAACUUUACUGUUGACAUGGUCCUUUUGUUGUUGUUGUUGGUGGUGGUGUUUUUUUGUUUUGUUUUGUUUUUUAAUGCCCACCCCCUACGUUCACUUAUUCAACUCUUUCUGGGUGACAACCCGCUGAAGUGGAACUUUAUCGUUUUGUUUGAGAUUCAGUUGUGUCGUGUGAUGUUCUUCUGGAGACUGUCUUAUGAGAGGAUGUUUCGCUGAAGCAGACACGCGAGAGGAUGUUUUGCUGAUAAUAGACAUUUGGUCAUGUUUUUCUGGAAGCUGCCUGCUGAAAGGGCGUGUGAUGUUUUGCUGGAGGGGAUGCUUGAGAGGACCCUUGACGUUUGGAAAGAGUGUAAGUAUAACCCAACAGGCAGUGGACGAUGCUCCUGCAUCGGCUCUUGCAUCUCUUUGUCAGUCACCGUUGGGCUUCCCUGAUGCUGGUCUUCACUGAUGAUGCUCUUGCAUUGGUUUGCCUUGCUUUCUUUUCUUCACUGAUCUUCGCUUGUGACUUCUUAGAGAAGCACACCGAAGAACUUCUGGUGGUAUUCUGGCUGCUUCUUGACGCUUCUCAGGACUCCUGGUGAUCUGCAGAGCCUUGCAGUUUCUACUGGAUCCAGCUGCUACUGCUUACUGGUGUUUGGUGUUUUGCUAGUGAGCUGGACUGCUGACAAUGAAGAUUGGAAUCACCCCCAAAGAACUAUUUAUAAAUAAGUUCACAAUUCCUGUUCCCUAUUAGCCUCUCUUUUCCCUACCUCUGGUGGGUGGUGGGCUAGGAGGGAAGUCGAAGCGUUAAAGAACCAACAUUAAAGUAGGUUUUGAAAAAUCCAAGCCUACAGCCCACAGUUUAAGAAGCUAAACUGUGGACCUGUGGAUGUAGGGUUGGGAUAGGAAAGAACUUUAGCUGGUUCCUUUCCCCGUCUUCACCAACUUAAUUUGAGAAGGCAAGGGAGAAAGGAAUGACAAUUAAGCGAAUCUGUAGGCAGAGGUGGGGUGAGGUAUACCUGCCUGCAUGUUGUUAAAGAAGAGAAACUUGUGCUCUUCACAGUCUGACAGCUACCAAAGGUCAGUGCACUCUCUAGUUUCCUGUCAACUUGACACGAGUUAGAGUCAUCAGAGGAGGGAGCCUCAGUUGAGUAAAUGCCUCCGUAAGACCAAGCUGUAGGGAAGCCUAUAGGGCGUUUUCUUAUUUAGUGAUUGAUGGGGGAAAGCCCCACCCAUUGUGGAUGGAGCCAUCCCUGGGUAAAUGGUCCUGGGUUCUAUAAGAAAGGAGGCUAAGCAAGCCAUGAUGAUCAAGCAAGUAAGCAGCACCCCUCCAUGAUCUCUGUAUCAGUUCCUGCCUCCAGGUUCCUGCCCUGUGUGAGUUCCUGCCCUUAUUUCCUUCCUUCAGUGGUGCUCUACAAUGAGAAAGUGUAAGACAAAUAGACCCUGCCCUCCCCAACUGGCUUUUGGUUAUGGUGUUUCAUCACAGCAAUAGUAACCCCGAUUAAGACAGCCCCUUUGAGAAUGGAUUUUUGGUGUCAAUAUACCCUUACCAGCUUGAUACUGGAGAGGUUGUCCUCUUGGACUUUAAACAAUGUGACUAUUAUGAGACCCAAAAUAGUCACAAGCUGUAAAUUAAAUUCAAACACAUUGUACCUCUCUUAAUACUCAGCCCCACUCCAUGCUUUUUGUUUUUCUCCCCCCUCGCCAAGAAGACAUCAGCCAUCUCCACCUCCUCCGC